CCUCUUACUAAUCUAGUACAAUCCAUGCAUGCUUCCACAUAUUUUGGCAGGAGAAAGUAGGAGUCCACUGACAAUGGUUUGGGAUAUUACUAGCCAGUGUUCCUGAAUUUAUACAUUUUUUAUCUCUUUCUGAAUAUAAGACCCUUACUGGAAGCGACUUUGUCUUUUUCAUCACUGUAUUCCCAGUGCCCAAGUCAGUGCUUGGCUCAUCAAAGAUGCUUCAAUAUUUGUUGCUGGUCUAGUUAAAUAAAAGCCUUUCACACUUUUUGCUACAGUAAUCUACACACAAGACUUGCUCAAUGCUUUCAUGAUUUUAACCACAAAGAGGAAGAGAAAAACAAGAAGGGCAUGGUAUACAGUGACACACCGUUUGCGGUAGAAGCGAGGGGAAAUGAUCUGAACAACUGAAAGAAUUUGUGUUCAUGAAGUUGCUCAGACAAGGAGCUGAUGGAGCAGGGCAUUGAAAUCUCCUUGCAUAUUGGAGUUUUAAUUAUAAAGCAUUAGGUUAAAUUUAACUCCUCAGAAUCAUUAUGAAAAUUUGUAACUCUCUGGGACAAUUUUAGAUCCAUCAACUGGCACAUAAAUUUAGCAGUCAUACACUAUAUGUAGAAGUGUGUAAAUAUGCAAGCAGCCACCCCCACCCCAUAACAAUGCUGUGUUAUUAUUCCACAAGACAACACUUUUGAAUCUGAAAUCUUUUAAAAUUACUAAUCUGUUGCUCUUCUCAUGGAACAUCUUAACUACUUCAUUUGAACGUACUAUUUAAAUAAUACUAGGAAGUAGUUCUCAAUGAAUAUUUAAUUACUGAGUACUAUGGUUUAAAUCUUCCAACCAAGAAAAAUAAUGCAUAGAAAAUUAUAUUUAUUAUAUAUCUCAAAAACUGUUGAAAAUUCUGAAGUUCUAGCAAAGAUCACUAUUCUUUAUGAAAUACACAUCAUCAUUACAAUGUCUGUGUUAGACAUAGUAUGAAUAUGAUCUGUAUGUCUUCAGUGAAUUCAAUAACUUAGAUGUCACAAUGUAACUUCCACAAAAAUGAGAACACAAUUUUGUUUAUACGAAGACCUGGCAUAAAAUAAAAUAUGAAUGAAUCAUUUUUAACACAAGAUACGAAAACUCAGUUUGCAGGCAAAUUAAGCAAAAACAAAAUGUGCUUAUUGUAAAUAUCCUAUCCUUAUUAGGAAACAAUUACAUUGUUUUCAGUAGAUUUUUAAUUCCUCUUGAUGUGCCACUUAAAAUGAUUUGAUUCCAAACUACUAGUGAUGCAAGUUUAAACACAUCCUUUAACUAGCAUGGUAGUGACAUAUAUUAAGUUGCCCAUAUGCAAUUCACACUUGUGACUUUUCUCUGCCAAUCAUGAAUUAUGCAAUUAUCCCUAACUCAUGGAAAUGAAAGUGCAUUAACUGCCCACUGUCAUGUAUUGUCUCUUUCUAUGUCCUUGCGCACAUAUUUCCACGGCUCAUUAUUCAUGGAUGCAUCUAUGCAAGUGUAAAUGUACACACAUAAUAUGGAAAUAGUCACACACGGAUAAAUAGCAACCAGACACUUGUUUGUAAAGAUCUAUGUACUUCAUUCCAAACAACAAAAUUUAAUGCGGAACACCUCUAUCCUUGUUAUGGAUGCCGCAAGGUAAACAAAACGGAUGCCAUUGUUAUAAAGUAAUAGAGGGAUUUUCUCACACAGGAAGGAAUGAAGUUGUUGGUGUACAAACCUGAAACAGCACCCUUUCAUCUCUGACAACUAUUUUUCUAGCUUUUUCCCCCAUUAAGAAAUAUGCUUUUCAGCACUGAUUGAAAUCUCACUGGAACACUAUUCAAAAAAUACUGACUGUACCUUGUGUUCCUAAUCCUUAUCUUUUCUCCAUGAAUGUUAAGAUAGACUUGUAAUGAUGGCAUUUCAUUCCUAGAGAAAACAAUUGUUUAAAAUAAAGAGUUUUGGGGAAAUU